rnacentral:rRNA from 1 species
GACGAACGCUGGCGGCGUGCCUAAUACAUGCAAGUUGAGCGCUGAAGGUUGGUACUUGUACCAACUGGAUGAGCAGCGAACGGGUGAGUAACGCGUGGGGAAUCUGCCUUUGAGCGGGGGACAACAUUUGGAAACGAAUGCUAAUACCGCAUAAAAACUUUAAACACAAGUUUUAAGUUUGAAAGAUGCAAUUGCAUCACUCAAAGAUGAUCCCGCGUUGUAUUAGCUAGUUGGUGAGGUAAAGGCUCACCAAGGCGAUGAUACAUAGCCGACCUGAGAGGGUGAUCGGCCACAUUGAGACUGAGACACGGCCCAAACUCCUACGGGAGGCAGCAGUAGGGAAUCUUCGGCAAUGGACGAAAGUCUGACCGAGCAACGCCGAGGGAGUGAAGAAGGUUGUCGGAUCGUAAAACUCUGUUGGUAGAGAAGAACGUUGGUGAGAGUGGAAAGCUCAUCAAGUGACGGUAACUACCCAGAAGGGGACGGCUAACUACGUG